rnacentral:rRNA from 1 species
GACGAACGCUGGCGGCGUGCUUAGCACAUGCAAGUCGAACGGAAAGGCCCUGCUUUUGUGGGGUGCUCGAGUGGCGAACGGGUGAGUAACACGUGAGUAACCUGCCCUUGACUUUGGGAUAACUUCAGGAAGCUGGGGCUAAUACCGGAUAGGAGCUCCUGCUGCAGGGUGGGGGUGGGAAAGUUUCGGCGGUUGGGGAUGGACUCGCGGCUUAUGAGCUUGUUGGUGGGGUAGUGGCUUACCAAGGCUUUGACGGGUAGCCGACCUGAGAGGGUAACCGGCCACAUCGGGAUUGAGCUACGGCACAGACUCGUACGGGAGGCAGCAGAGGAGAAUAUUACACAAUGGGAGGAAGCCUGACGCAGCAACGCAGCGUGCGGGAUGACGGCAAGCGGGUUGUAAACCGCUUCCGCCUGUGACGAAGCGAGAGUGACGGUACCGGGUAAAGAAGCACCGGCUAACUACGUG